GAUGUGUCCAACCAAAAGAAAAGAAGAUGUGGAAGGAAAGGAAAGGAUAAUGUCCUAUCUCAAAUCCCCACAGUUCCAUUGAAUAGAAGAUCGACUCUCAGGUCACUUGCUCGCGCAUUGGGUGUCAGUCAUACUACACUCUACCAGAAACUCAAGCUUCACAAGAUUAGGAGGCACUCCAAUCGUUUGAAGCCAAGCUUGAAAGAAAAGAAUAAAAGAGAAAGAAUCAAGUUUUGUAUGUCGAUGCUUGAUGAGACAACUUUAGCAGCUACAAGACCUAAAUUCAUCAGUAUGCACAACAUUGUGCAUAUUGACGAAAAGUAG
rnacentral:rRNA from 1 species